GGGGGGAGUGGCUGAUACACUGGAGGGCAGGGCUGCUGUGCAGAUGGACCUGGUCAGACUGGAAAAAUGAGCUGUCAGGGACCUCAUGAAGUUCAGCAGACACAGAGCCCUGUACCUGGGCUGACACAACCCUAUGUGGCACGACAGGUUGGGAACUGUCUAGAGAGCAGCUUAGUAGAAGACACAGGGGUCACAGCAGACAAGUCAACUGCGUGGCCUUGCAAGCAAAUGUGUCCAGCUGCACGCUGGGCUGAAUAGAGCCAAUAGGUUUGGAAGAAAAUCAUUUUUCCCAUCUAUUUGGCACCCAUGAGACUACAUCUGGAAUACUGUCUAUAGUUUUGGACUUGUAGAAGACACAUGUUCGUCUACUAAAACAAGAUUAGCGAAGGCCACUGGAGGGCUCAGGGAGAGAGAAGUUGAUGGAGAUGGGUUUGGUUAGCAUUAAAGAUGAUGAUGGCAAGCAGGUUGUAGAGAAGGUAGAGCUUGGUUCUCCCUAGAGGUGAACAAUAGGCAAAUGGUAAUAAGCUGCAACAUGGAAAAUCUAAUAAAUGAAAUCUAUAUAUCUAUUUAUAUCUAAUAAAUAUAUCUAUAUGUCACAUAUAGAUAUAUAUAUAUAUAGAGAGAGAGAGAGAUAUAGAUAUAGGCUCCUUAAUAUAUCUAUAGAUGUACAUAUGUGUACAUCUCAGCUGGAGAUAGCCUAAAGCAACCUGCUCUAAUGGGGCCUGCCUUGAACAGAAAGCCAUACUACAGAAGUGCAGAAGCCCCUUGCUACUUACGGACAUGUUUCUAUGAACUCAUGAUGUGAAAUCAGAUAGCUUUGAACUAGCAGUUCCACCUUACCACGGAAAGAGACUCUUAUAACACUUAGAUUUGCCAAAAGUUUUUUCAUGAAAUGAUGCCCAGCGAGCAGGGAAGGCAGUAUGUCUGUUCUAUUGCAAUAAGAAAUGCACUGAAAAUUAGUUUUGCGCAUAUCAAGAACUAUGCUAUACAAAGGAUAAAUAAUAUGUGCUGAUUUCAAAGAGACCUGGCACUCUCUUUGCCUUCUUUUAUUGUUUGCAUUGCUUUACCAUCAACAGAAGCAGGAUCCUCUUCAUAAAGAACUGAUUUUCUACCUUUAUAAUUCACUGUUCUGAAAUUCAAUUUCCGUGCGUUUGUCCUUAUUGCCCUUAUUCAAAUAUUCUUCCAGUUCUGUUGUAUUCUUACUGAGAUGGGAGAAAACUGCAGAACUGUACACAGUAGUCAAGAUGAAGGUAGCCUUUAGACUAAAAGAGACUGUGUAGACUAUAUUCUAUUGGAAGGGACUAGAUACAAAUACACCUACUAUCACUUUGUGCAACCCUCAGAAGAAAGGUAAGCACAAAGAAGCCCUUGUCUGUUCCAGCCUACAGUAUCAUAAACUCUUCCUUAGUUGUAGGAAAGAAGUGUUCUUAAGCCUAACCUUCUAAUUUUCUACUUCUUUUUGGAAUUCUUUAAUGCCAUAUGAAUGUUUUAAUACUGCACUACUUAUUUCCUCUCUCAGAAAGAAGAGCUAAAACCUUAUUAGUUUAUGGUCCACAUACUCCCUAGGAAGGAUUUGUGAGGAACAGAUUAUCAUUGCUUUGCUUCCAAGUCUUAUUCAGAAGGGAGGAUCAAGGGGAGACAUGCACAAAUAUAAUUAUGUAGCAAUUCUAACUCAUAUUUAUUCUGUACAAUACCAUACUGAGGUUUUUUUGUUUGGAUUUUCUUUCUGAUAGCCACCAAGGAAAAUAACUGUAUUAAGCAGACUUAAAAUGUAAAGCAAAGUUGUUAAUUAUCUGUAAUGAUUUCAUCUCUGAUCCUAAAGAAGGGAGUGCACCUUCCUCUGACCAGAAAUAAUAUAAGCAUUAAAUGACCACUUUUGUUCAUAUAAAGAGAAAAAUAUUUUUAAUCAUAGCAUAUAUAUUACAGUUUUCUGUCAUCGGCAUAAUGAGCUGAUUACCCCACAACUGGGAGAACUGGAAUUAGGUGGGUGCCUUUAUGAUCAACCUUUCUGCAGGCUGAAGGAAGAGGAGGAGCCGCAGGAGCCCUAAUUUUGUGUUAAAUACUGGACUUUGGGAGUGAUGUGAGGGCACCAAGAAGGAUGAUCCCUUAGGGAAGGGUCACCAUCAAACCAGAAGUGAUUUCUUAUUGGUAAACUUUCUUUUUUUUUCCUGUUCUUUUAAUGUUGUGCUUCACUAAAUCAUCACUGUCUUGGCCUCUGCUCAUCUUCUUCUUUCACUUAUUUGUCUUUUAUUCAAAGAGUUGAGGGUUAGAUUGUCUCAUCUGGCUUCUAUGCCGUAGGUCCUGAAAUUGCUUGUACAGGCUCAAGUAAUUCAUUUGAGCAAGGCAUGUUUCGUAUCUGCCUGGAGCCUGCAAUUAAGCAUGGAGUCACGCAGCUUUAGAAGAUAAGGGACUUCCUGUUCUGUUAGCAGAAGAACCCUUGUAGCCCUUUUUUCCUACCUGGAAAAAGAAGUUGAAUGCAGAGUAUGCUGUGACUGAGCUGCAGUUAGAUGGGAGUGCGCACGCCCAAAGCUGGUCAAAUUUUGGUAGUGAAGAUUAAAAUUUAACCAACGCAGCAUUCUUCCCCCCCCCCCCCCCCCCCCCCCCCCGCAAGGACAAAAAAUGAUCAAUUCAUUACAAUAUUUGUUAAAGUAACCUGGGGAGCAUUUCGGAAGAGAAAAGAAUGACGAUAAACUCAAUACUAAACCAUUUGAGCUGACAGGCAGAAAAGCUUCAGGCUUGAAAACAUGCAAAUAAAAUACAAAUGGUAUUUACUGUUAGUUCAUUACUGUUCGCAGUUAAACCUGGGCAUCCCUAUUACAUCUAAAAGGUAACAAAGGAAAAUACAAACAAAGCCUCACUAUCUAAAACUGGAAAUUCAACAGUUUACAGAAUAAAGUAAAUUUUAAUAUAAACAAUCCCUGGAAUAGUUGUGUAGGUUUAAAGACAAGCGGUUCAACUUGACAAAUGUCAGUACUGAGACACAGGACAACUGGAGCUCCAUACAAAGCUGGAGGCAAGGUGGAGGGAACAUCCGUCCACUGCCACACUUACAGUGCAUUAAAGUGGGCUACGGCAGCUCAUUCUACUGCUAUUAAUAAUGCUGCACUUUAAGAGACUUUAACAAAGCUGACAUGCCUGAAGUAUAUACAUAUAGCGAAAUCUCAGACGGCAGACAACAUUUCCUGUCAAAAUAGCUUCCAACAACGAUUUAGCAUAAUUAUAUAUGUUCUGCACUGAGGUUUGGAAGAAUGUUAACUCUCCUGUUAAUUUAAAACCUUUUGUAUGCAGUCAGUGGGUGGAGUGCCACAUUUUAGAGUACCAUUUUCCAGUUUAAAAUGAAACCAAUGAAACUAAACAACAAACCACUGCAAACACGACAAAGAAAAAACAGCCAUCUAACGCUUGUUUUGUUUGGGUCUUGGGGCAUACAAGCUUAAAACCCAGAUUUUGUGGAAUUAUGAGUGGUUAGAAACACAAAAGAGGCUUUAUAACACGAAGGAAAAGAACACAAAAUUAAUGUAAAUAUGGUUAGCACAAAGAUAUGAGAGACAAGAGAACAGCAAUGUUACCUAAAAGCACUGCUCCAAGACUUCAGGUAUGCUGCAUCUCCUUGCUGAGUGCACACUACCCACAUGCACUGCUGCUGUUGGGAAAGGUUUUGCUCCUCCGUCACAGCCGUUAUUUGUAACUGCCUGUUAAUGUGGAUUCUCUUCCACACCACAAAAUGAGAACUUUGUGAAAUUAAAUAGAUUAUGUUAGGUAAUUUUUAUGGGACUCUUACCACUUCUUUAACUGCAUAUAUUUAGGAGUAAUUUGUGUAUACCUACAUGCUUAUGAUAUGGCUUGCAGCAGAAGCUAUUAAAUUGAGCAGCGGUAGCACCAUAACUUACACUUGCUUCCCAGAACUCCUGAGCAGGACGCUGGGGACUACGGGCCCUUUCAGAUGAGUGAAAAAAUGAGCCGACAUUAUUUUCCCAGAUAGGAAUGAAGGGUGAAUGCUACAAGUGCAUUCUAUCUGGAAAGUGUGUGAAUAUGUUUGGGGAGGGUGGGGAGACUUAUCUGCCUGCUCUCUGAAAAAGCUGUGUUUCAAACCCUUUAUUUCAAUAACAGUGUUAAGGAAAAAGGAAAAACACACCAUCACUUUGAUGCCUAGCAUUAUGAGAACAGAAGUAAGCCCAAGCAAGCUAGGCCAAAUGCACCAGCAAAGUAUAUUCCCUUUUGUCAUUUUCUGUCCCAAAGUACUUUCUCUGAAAGGAUCCAGUCCAGUCUGGCUGCUCCUUAUUUAAAGUUUUUCAGUUUUUCAGAGCGACUGUUAUUUCCCAAAGCACCUUCUGUUUCGCUGUGGUUUAGGUAACAGAUUAUUAAAACAAUUGUGCUUAUCAUUGUGUUCUCUAAUGUGAAAUGGAGUGAAGUAAAUGAAAAAGUAAAUGCUAUUUUUCAGGACUUGGAACGUGUCACUGGAGAAUCUGAAGUCCUUGUACGUGUUUUUAUACUCAGCUUGAAAAUACUUUGCCAUUUUUACUAGUGCAAGCCUGAGUCUUGGAUGGCUUCUUGAACUUUUUGGAAUAAUCAUGACUGCUAAAAUCAGCUGACGAAUAGCUGCUUAUACUGUCAGCAGGAACUGAGAUACUGGUCUAUAGCUGGGCAUUAUGAUGGCUGGAUCUGUAUGUGGAGGGCCUGAGCUUCCUCUGUAGCAUAAGGAAAAAGUCAGAGAUCCGUAAGACCAAAGUAAUGACUGAGGACCAGCUGUGAUUAAGUAAGGCAAUGCCGUGUAGCAUUUAGCCAUUCAGACCUAAGCCUGUAAAGAAGCAGGCUGUUCCAAUGUGUUAAUAGCUUUCAGGAUAUGAGAGAGACAGUUUAGAGUAUUUGAAGACACUUAACCUACUUAGCUCACCUAGGAAAUGGAUAAUCUCAUUGCCAGCCUUAAAGAGGUUUUACCCAACUGUUGCCUCUACCCUUUGUGUUGAAAAUGUGCAAAGAAUUAGACUUUCUUUUUUAGUGACAGAAACGUAGCCAGCAACAGCCUAGCUUGUGACUAGGAGCUUGUACCUCCCCCAUCUUCUUUAUGGGCAAAUUUAAACUGCAUAUAUAAGCUGUGAUUGAUAGAAAAGAGAUUGAGCAGUCUUAUCGGUUACACUAUAGUUCUCUAGUAUUAAGCAUCUGUUGUUGUUAACCCCAAAGUACAAAGCCAAGAAAACAGACAGGACCAGUAGAGACAGCGAAUGGCACAGAAGCAUCAAGCUUCGACUGCACCUAGACCACGUACCGUCCCUUCAGUGAGGCACCUCCGGAGGCCUGCGCUAACAGCGGCUGCAGAGGUGUUCUCUGCCUGCAGAAGGAAGCCAUCUGACACACCUUACAUCAUUACAUUAAUCUGCACAGCCAGAGCUACAAAAAAGAAAACGAUAAAGUUCAGACCUGUUGUAAACAGCUGAAGCUCAUGAUAAUGGGUUUGCUCAUUACGUCAGCGAUGUAAACAUCGUAUUAGCAAGCAGGUCAGAAAAUGGGUGUAAUUUUCCUCAGCUUAGUUUCCAGUGUGCCUUUGUAAUGUACGGACAAGUAAGACAAUAUUAUAGAGAAAGUAGGAAGUAACAAAAUAAACAGCUAAAUUAAGUGGGCCGAUAUCAGUACCUUUAAGCUUUCUUAGCCACAAUAGAUAAUAAAGUAGGAAACAUUUGGAUGUUUUUUCUUUUAGGAAAAUUGUAACAAAUAAUUAUAAUAAUGUUAACAAGGAAAAAUUUAAAGCUGCUCAAAAAGAAGAGAGUUGACAAAUUCAUACCUUUAUGAUGUGCUUCCCACCUACCCUUGAAGUUUCUUGAUCUGUACAUAAAUUUAUCUCAUUUUUCAAGGUGCUGUUGGUGACUAUUUCCUUGAGCAGUUAAAACAUAUAUUCAUGUCUGACCCAAAUUGACUGUUCUUAUGGGUGUUUAAACAAAUCUUUUUUGAAAUUCCCUGUUUUAAUUAUCGAGGAAAAGAGAUUUCUUCCCAAAAUACACACGGGGUUGGAAUAACCCUGUAUUUGCAAAUGACUGCUUAUGGAAAGAGCACAAUGUCAUUAUACCUAAAUAUGACAGAAUUCUGGGUCUGGAAAAGAAGCAAGGACUAUUUACAAGACAGCAAAACCAAAACACCUUAAGGGAACGCAUUCCGGGAAUUAUCUUCACGUAUCACUAACUUAUUUCGGUCAGAAGUUCCUGGGAACUGUAAUCCCAAUGUCAGAAGGUGUCUGAUAAGGGCUUUGGAUGCUGCAGAUAGAGCAGUGCUCUGAAACAAACGUACUCCCACCUAUCCAACACCACCAUUGGCAGCAAUGUAACUCUCCUGCUCAGGGGGUUCUGAGCCGAUUUACUUUUCAACAUUUGAGUUAUAAAAAUGAGUCUGCUAUUGCUUUGUUUCCUCUUCUGAACCAUUCUAUGGAACUUAAGAUAAGUCCCUUUGCCUGUUUUGUUUUAUCAGCUUAGCAGGAAAAAAAAAUGAAGUCUGACCCUACUUUUGAAAGCGAGCUGCACCAAUGCCUUCAUUCCUAUUUCCUGUAAGUCCCAAUUCUGUAUUAGUUCAUCACUUUAUUUAAUCCAAAAAAGGAACUCUGUGAUUAUUUUGAUAAUUAAGCACUCAGUCACCAAUCGUAGGUUAUUAUAUUAUUUAAAAGCCAUAGCUUACGUUAACACCAAGGAAUGCACUGACUUGUAAGUAUAGCAGUGAAGGGGAGAUUCUUCUGGCUUUGUAACUACUGCUCAAAAAUCUACAGUGUUCUCAGGCUGCAGCCUGAGUCUGUUUUGUCUGAAGAGAGACACAAAGGCUUGGAGGACGCUGGCAGCCACUGUCACAGCAGUAAGGGUACAUUUCAGCGACUGCAUCUCAGAGCGCAGUCGGGGUGCUUCGGGGUGCAGGAUUCAGUUCUCUAGCUUAAAGACUUCACGGAAUACCCAAGUGAUGGCUCAGCAACUCCAGCACCCACCGAAAUUUCAGCCAGGAAAAAAAAUAUAAAAUCACAAUUAGAUUCACCUGAAGCUAAUUACAAAGACAUGAUAGAAUUGCAAAAAGCAUCAGGAUGGAAAACAAAUAUUACUUAAUAAUGGUGACAAUCAUACAGGAUUUUGAUCUUGCUUACAGAGAAUGAUUCAAGAUUACCUGGUUAGGUAGGGGAAAAAUGCCCAUGCUGACCUUUUGCUUUUGUUCUCAGGUUAGCUUCAGUCAACAAACCUAUUGCUCUAACUGCUGUGUCGGCACAGCAGCCACUGAGCUUCUUCAGCACAUCUAUCUCCCGUUCCACACGUGUUCUGACACCAUACCAAUGAAGUUCAGAGCCAUCUCAGGCUAACAUGUCUGUUCCAGUGGAGCGGUGACAAUUUCAGGACACUGUUCCAAGUGCAUUUUUUUCUGUUGUCAGUGCAGCUGUUUGCAUGGCUGUGAGAUAAACCAGACCAGGGAUUCCUUCCAUUGAAACACAGCCACUGGUUUGCCCGUGUAUCAAUUCUAUUUUACCAUACACCCAGAUGAAUUUGUGCACUCACAAGAAGAGGGCAACAGAGGUGUAGGAACAUGAGAAGUGUAUAUGAUGGAGAAGCUGCACCACCACUUCUGUUGCUGAAUUCCAACUGUGGCCUAAAAAAAUCCCAUUUCUGAAACAAAAAGAAGUUGGUUUUGCUGUCACCACGGUUAGUUUGAAUUUAACAUAAAAGCAACAAAAAAGAAUUGCUCCGUUUUCAAGGCACCCUGCAAAUAAUGGGACAUGGUAACAACAACCUGCUGCUCAGGUUCUAUCUGCCAAGACUUUAUAGGAACUUUUAUCAGAGAAAAUUCUCCUAACUACAUGGCAUCUGAAUUUAAAAUGUAGAAUGUAUGACAACAAAGACAACAAAAACUAAAGAUGACAUUACCCUGGGAUUUUUAAAUAAGCACUUCAGAAACAACAACAAAGAUGAGUGUAAUGACUCGUACUGUGAUCUCCCCACAGCCUGCCCUGUAAUUCCUUUCUUGGUCUAUUUUUCAGCUCGAAAGACUGUUCUGUUUCUUUAGUUUAUUUUCAGCCAGGUUCUUGGUCAGCCUUGUGAAGGCACCUAAAAUACACGUUUCUGACUCACAAUUCUACUACAGUGCUUAAGCUGGUCAAGAACACCGAGUUGCUCCGAAGCACAGAAAAGCUCUGUAACUUCUCGUUACGCCUCGGAUGUGAGGUUUUUCUGUUUCUGUCGAGUAUUAUUUACCUACAUUGUUUGUUCAAAAUCAUCAGUACAAAUAGCAAUGAAACGUCUCUUAAAGCAGGCCUGGAGAAGACAAGAGUUUUAGCUCCCCAAGGCAGCACCAAGGUGUCCUAGCGGACUGCAAUGACGUUCCAGCCAGGUACUGAGGGCUCUACUUAUUGAUACCAAAAGGCAUUGUUUCUAAAUUCCCUGAAAAGGACAUUUUAAUCUCUCUCACAAGCAACAACAAUCAAGUUCUGUUUUUCAUCUCAGUGUAAUUCCAUCAGCAAUCGAAUCUGUCAAAAAUAGUAAGUUUAUGUAGGCUGCCAUAAAUGAAAUGGGAUCAGGUUACGUAACAGGAGCAGCGAUCACCUGUUAGCUCGUGACAGUGAGUUAGCUCAGCAUGGUUGAAGUGUAACUACUAGGCUGCUCUGCGGAGUAGCUAAUUACUGAAUCGUACGAAUAAUUUAAGCAGAUGAAGGAAGAUAACAGCGUUACCACUUACAGCCUAAUUAAUAGAAAAGCUGAAAGUA